CAUUGGAUGAAGGUUACUGUAUUUGGGAAGCGUUACUAACAGGAUGGCGACUGGCGAAAGAGCAGUGCUGAUCUGGUUGUGCCUUUCCUUUCUUCUGUACGGUUCAGUACAGGGAGCCAAUAGAGACGUUCAGCAGCCUUGCCUGACAAACAUAAAAUGCCCAACCCGGACCUCUGUGGAAGGCGAUGUGAUAGAGUACGU